UACGUAGGGUGCGAGCGUUAAUCGGAAUUACUGGGCGUAAAGCGUGCGCAGGCGGUUUGAUAAGCCAGAUGUGAAAUCCCCGAGCUCAACUUGGGAACGGCGUUUGGAACUGUCAGACUAGAGUGCGUCAGAGGGGGGUGGAAUUCCGCGUGUAGCAGUGAAAUGCGUAGAGAUGCGGAGGAACACCGAUGGCGAAGGCAGCCCCCUGGGAUGACACUGACGCUCAGGCACGAAAGCGUGGGGAGCAAACAGG
rnacentral:rRNA from 1 species